ACGACUUUCAGCAUGAAUGCCAUCGUGGCUUUGUGCCACUUCUGUGAGCUGCAUGGGCCUCGCACUUUGUUCUGCACUGAGGCGUUGCACUCCCCUCUCCCCCAGGGGGCAAGUUGCGGAGACAGCCUGGGGCAGGGGGAGCAGGCAGAGGAAGAGGAGCUGGGAAUCCAGAUGAGCAGCAGAAUCCAAUCCCACAGCCCAGCCGACGGGGCGAGUGCCGAUUCCAACAGCCCCCGACCCAAGAAAUCUGAUAUGUGUGAAGGGUGCCGAUCGCUGGCAGCUGGACACCCUGGCUAUAUCAGCCAUGACAAGGAGACAUCGAUCAAAUAUGUCAGCCAUCAGCACCCAAAUCACCCACAGCUGUUCAGCAUUGUACGCCAGGCCUGCGUGCGCAGCUUGAGCUGCGAGGUCUGUCCGGGCAGGGAGGGUCCCAUCUUUUUUGGAGACGAACAGCACGGUUUUGUGUUCAGCCACACGUUUUUCAUCAAGGACAGUCUGGCGCGCGGCUUCCAGCGGUGGUACAGCAUCAUCGUCAUCAUGAUGGACAGGAUUUAUCUCAUCAACUCCUGGCCGUUCCUGUUGGCCAAGAUUAGAGCCAUCAUAGAUGAGCUGCAGGGGAAGGCUUUAAAAGUGUUCGAAGCAGAGCAGUUUGGAUGCCCCCAGCGUCCCCUGAGGAUUAACACAGCGUUCACUCCUUUCCUGCACCAGCGCAACGGGAAUGCCGCCCGCUCUCUGAGCUCCCUCACCAACGAUGAUAACCUAUGGGCCUGCCUUCACACCUCCUUUGCAUGGCUACUCAAAGCAUGUGGAUGCCGCCUGACGGAGAAGCUGCUGGAAGGAGCUCCCACAGAAGACACGUUGGUGCAGAUGGAGAAGCAGGCCGACUUGGAGGAGGAAUGUGCGGCCUGGGAAGGCCAGGAGGAAGAAGAAGAAGAGAGACCCCGGCCACAGUCCAGUGUCUUGGAAGGACGGGAGAUUUCCAAGUGCUCCACAGAGACCUCCAACUUAUCGGAGUUAAGGAGGACAGUUGGGUUCCAAUCUCUCAGACACAUGAGGCAGGUGCUGGGUGCAGCUGCUUUCCGAGUGUUGGCCUGGCACGUUCUGAUGGGUAAUCAAGUCAUUUGGAAGGGCCAGGACAAGGAGCUGAUCCAGUCGGCAUUUGAUGUCUUGCAAGCCAUGCUGCCCGUGGGCUGUGUCCGCAUCAUUCCAUACAGCGAGGAAUACGAAGACGCGUAUCGCUGCAACUUCCUAGGGCUGAGUCCCCGUGCCGAAAUCCCCCCUCACGUGCAGUCGUCUGAAUUUGCCGUCAUGGUGGACAUUCGCAGUGCACCGCGCUCCAACCUUUACCCUGUCCUGUUCGGCGACGAUGAGCCUCUGAACCGAUAUGAAUUUGCCGUGGCAAGUGGAAGCCCGGUGUCUACGGACAGGGUGGGACUUACUAUCCUGAACAAGAUAGAGGCUGCUUUGCAUAACGAAAAUCUCUCGAUGGACGUGGUGGACCAGUGUCUGAUCUGCCUGAAAGAAGAAUGGAUGAAUAAAGUGAAAGUCCUCUUCAAGUUCACCAAAGUAGACAGCCGCCCCAAGGAAGAUACGCAGAAACUGCUGGGGAUUCUCGGAGCCGCCGAGGAAGACAAUGUGAAGCUACUCAAGUUCUGGAUGACGGGGCUCAGCAAGACCUACAAGUCUCACCUGAUGUCCAGCGUGCGAAGCCCGACUUCCUCGGAGUCCAGGAACUGAGGGUCCCGUUCCAAGAACCUUCAAGAGUUUUGAGGACCCCGUUCCAGGAAGCUUCAGUGGGUUGUGGUGCGACACAACCAGUCAGAGGGUUACAUGCACCACAAGUUUGCGAUUUUGGACAAGUCGGUGGUUAUCACGGGUUCCCUGAACUGGACCGUGCAGGCUGUCCACACCAACAAGGAAA